AUAACGAAAUUGUCGAAAUCGUGAGACGUGCGCCGGUAACUUGGCUGUGAUAAUGAGACGAAAUCGCGAGAGCAGGAAAUAGCCGGUGAUUGUUGAGGUACACAGCUUCGAGGGUACACGGAGAAAGGUGUUUGCGGACAACCUUGGUGGGCCCCGAAGAACGGGGGCCCCGCAUUGUUGGUAAGAGUUCCGGAAGUACAAUAAGGAAAAAGCAUGAAAGUUCGUAUAAUAAUCUUGUUAUUUGAUCGGCGUAGAUUAUACAUUACAGAUAGAAAUUGAUAUGCAGAUUCUCUCCCAUCGAUUCUAAACUAGUUUCUCGGCAUUCCGGAUAUUUAUAUACACGUGUGUACUCAAAAUAACGACAUUUAAUAAAAACAUCUCAUAAAAUAUACUGCAGUCGCAACAACAAGAC
rnacentral:misc_RNA from 1 species